rnacentral:rRNA from 1 species
GAUGAACGCUGGCGGCGCGCCUAACACAUGCAAGUCGAACGAUUAAAGCACCUUCGGGUGUGUAUAAAGUGGCGAACGGCUGAGUAACACGUGGGCAACCUGCCCCUUUCAUUGGGAUAGCCACGGGAAACCGUGGAUAAUACCGAAUACUUCGAGACUUCCGCAUGGAAGACUCGAGAAAGCUCCGGCGGAGAGGGAUUGGCCCGCGGCCUGUUAGCUUGUUGGUGGGGUAACGGCCUACCAAGGCAAUGAUGGGUAGCUGGGUUGAGAGACCGACCAGCAAGAUUGGGACUGAGACACGGCCCAGACUCCAACGGGAGGCAGCAGUGGGGAAUAUUGCACAAUGGGCGAAAGCCUGAUGCAGCGACGCCGCGUGCGGGAUGAAGGCCUUCGGGUUGUAAACCGCUUUCAGCAGGGACGAGGCGAAAGUGACGGUACCUGCAGAAGAAGCCCCGGCUAACUACGUG